rnacentral:rRNA from 1 species
GGGUUGUGAGGUUAAGCGACUAAGCGUACACGGUGGAUGCCCUGGCAGUCAGAGGCGAUGAAGGACGUGCUAAUCUGCGAUAAGCGUCGGUAAGGUGAUAUGAACCGUUAUAACCGGCGAUUUCCGAAUGGGGAAACCCAGUGUGAUUCGUCACACUAUCAUUAACUGAAUCCAUAGGUUAAUGAGGCGAACCGGGGGAACUGAAACAUCUAAGUACCCCGAGGAAAAGAAAUCAACCGAGAUUCCCCCAGUAGCGGCGAGCGAACGGGGAGCAGCCCAGAGCCUGAAUCAGUGUGUGUGUUAGUGGAAGCGUCUGGAAAGGCGYGCGAUACAGGGUGACAGCCCCGUACACAAAAAUGCACAURCUGUGAGCUCGAUGAGUAGGGCGGGACACGUGGUAUCCUGUCUGAAUAUGGGGGGACCAUCCUCCAAGGCUAAAUACUCCUGACUGACCGAUAGUGAACCAGUACCGUGAGGGAAAGGCGAAAAGAACCCCGGCGAGGGGAGUGAAAAAGAACCUGAAACCGUGUACGUACAAGCAGUGGGAGCACAGAGCAAUCUGUGUGACUGCGUACCUUUUGUAUAAUGGGUCAGCGACUUAUAUUCUGUAGCAAGGUUAACCGAAUAGGGGAGCCGAAGGGAAACCGAGUCUUAACUGGGCGUUAAGUUGCAGGGUAUAGACCCGAAACCCGGUGAUCUAGCCAUGGGCAGGUUGAAGGUUGGGUAACACUAACUGGAGGACCGAACCGACUAAUGUUGAAAAAUUAGCGGAUGACUUGUGGCUGGGGGUGAAAGGCCAAUCAAACCGGGAGAUAGCUGGUUCUCCCCGAAAGCUAUUUAGGUAGCGCCUCGUGAAUUCAUCUCCGGGGGUAGAGCACUGUUUCGGCAAGGGGGUCAUCCCGACUUACCAACCCGAUGCAAACUGCGAAUACCGGAGAAUGUUAUCACGGGAGACACACGGCGGGUGCUAACGUCCGUCGUGAAGAGGGAAACAACCCAGACCGCCAGCUAAGGUCCCAAAGUCAUGGUUAAGUGGGAAACGAUGUGGGAAGGCCCAGACAGCCAGGAUGUUGGCUUAGAAGCAGCCAUCAUUUAAAGAAAGCGUAAUAGCUCACUGGUCGAGUCGGCCUGCGCGGAAGAUGUAACGGGGCUAAACCAUGCACCGAAGCUGCGGCAGCGACRCUUAUGYGUUGUUGGGUAGGGGAGCGUUCUGUAAGCCUGYGAAGGUGURCUGUGAGGYAUGCUGGAGGUAUCAGAAGUGCGAAUGCUGACAUAAGUAACGAUAAAGCGGGUGAAAAGCCCGCUCGCCGGAAGACCAAGGGUUCCUGUCCAACGUUAAUCGGGGCAGGGUGAGUCGACCCCUAAGGCGAGGCCGAAAGGCGUAGUCGAUGGGAAACAGGUUAAUAUUCCUGUACUUGGUGUUACUGCGAAGGGGGGACGGAGAAGGCUAUGUUGGCCGGGCGACGGUUGUCCCGGUUUAAGCGUGUAGGCUGGUUUUCCAGGCAAAUCCGGAAAAYYAAGGCUGAGGCGUGAUGACGAGGCACUACGGUGCUGAAGCAACAAAUGCCCUGCUUCCAGGAAAAGCCUCUAAGCAUCAGGUAACAUCAAAUCGUACCCCAAACCGACACAGGUGGUCAGGUAGAGAAUACCAAGGCGCUUGAGAGAACUCGGGUGAAGGAACUAGGCAAAAUGGUGCCGUAACUUCGGGAGAAGGCACGCUGAUAUGUAGGUGAAGUCCCUCGCGGAUGGAGCUGAAAUCAGUCGAAGAUACCAGCUGGCUGCAACUGUUUAUUAAAAACACAGCACUGUGCAAACACGAAAGUGGACGUAUACGGUGUGACGCCUGCCCGGUGCCGGAAGGUUAAUUGAUGGGGUYAGCGCAAGCGAAGCUCUUGAUCGAAGCCCCGGUAAACGGCGGCCGUAACUAUAACGGUCCUAAGGUAGCGAAAUUCCUUGUCGGGUAAGUUCCGACCUGCACGAAUGGCGUAAUGAUGGCCAGGCUGUCUCCACCCGAGACUCAGUGAAAUUGAACUCGCUGUGAAGAUGCAGUGUACCCGCGGCAAGACGGAAAGACCCCGUGAACCUUUACUAUAGCUUGACACUGAACAUUGAGCCUUGAUGUGUAGGAUAGGUGGGAGGCUUKGAAGUGUGGACGCCAGUCUGCAUGGAGCCGACCUUGAAAUACCACCCUUUAAUGUUUGAUGUUCUAACGUUGACCCGUAAUCCGGGUUGCGGACAGUGUCUGGUGGGUAGUUUGACUGGGGCGGUCUCCUCCUAAAGAGUAACGGAGGAGCACGAAGGUUGGCUAAUCCUGGUCGGACAUCAGGAGGUUAGUGCAAUGGCAUAAGCCAGCUUGACUGCGAGCGUGACGGCGCGAGCAGGUGCGAAAGCAGGUCAUAGUGAUCCGGUGGUUCUGAAUGGAAGGGCCAUCGCUCAACGGAUAAAAGGUACUCCGGGGAUAACAGGCUGAUACCGCCCAAGAGUUCAUAUCGACGGCGGUGUUUGGCACCUCGAUGUCGGCUCAUCACAUCCUGGGGCUGAAGUAGGUCCCAAGGGUAUGGCUGUUCGCCAUUUAAAGUGGUACGCGAGCUGGGUUUAGAACGUCGUGAGACAGUUCGGUCCCUAUCUGCCGUGGGCGCUGGAGAACUGAGGGGGGCUGCUCCUAGUACGAGAGGACCGGAGUGGACGCAUCACUGGUGUUCGGGUUGUCAUGCCAAUGGCACUGCCCGGUAGCUAAAUGCGGAAGAGAUAAGUGCUGAAAGCAUCUAAGCACGAAACUUGCCCCGAGAUGAGUUCUCCCUGACUCCUUGAGAGUCCUGAAGGAACGUUGAAGACGACGACGUUGAUAGGCCGGGUGUGUAAGCGCAGCGAUGCGUUGAGCUAACCGGUACUAAUGAACCGUGAGGCUUAACCUUACAACGCCGAAGVUGUU